AACGAACGCUGGCGGCAUGCCUAACACAUCCAAGUCGAACGAGACCUUCGUGUCUAGUGGCGCACGGGUGCGUAACGCGUGGUAACCUGCCCUUAGGUUCGGAAUAACUCCCCGAAAGGGGUGCUAAUACCGGAUAAUGUCUUCGGACCAAAGAUUUAUCGCCUUUGGAUGGGCCCGCGUUGGAUUAGCUAGUUGGUAGGGUAAAAGCCUACCAAGGCGACGAUCCAUAGCUGGUCUGAGAGGAUGAUCAGCCACACUGGGACUGAGACACGGCCCAGACUCCUACGGGAGGCAGCAGUGGGGAAUAUUGGACAAUGGGCGAAAGCCUGAUCCAGCAAUGCCGCGUGAGUGAUGAAGGCCUUAGGGUUGUAAAGCUCUUUUACCCGGGAUGAUAAUGACAGUAACGGGAGAAUAAGCUCCGGCUAACUCCGUG
rnacentral:rRNA from 1 species